AGAUUGAACGCUGGCGGCAUGCCUUACACAUGCAAGUCGAACGGUAACAGCACUUCGGUGGCUGACGAGUGGCGAACGGGUGAGUAAUACAUCGGAACGUGCCCGAUCGUGGGGGAUAACUACUCGAAAGAGUGGCUAAUACCGCAUACGAUCUACGGAUGAAAGCGGGGGAUCGCAAGACCUCGCGCGGACGGAGCGGCCGAUGGCAGAUUAGGUAGUUGGUGGGAUAAAAGCUUACCAAGCCGACGAUCUGUAGCUGGUCUGAGAGGACGACCAGCCACACUGGGACUGA
rnacentral:rRNA from 1 species